rnacentral:rRNA from 1 species
GACGAACGCUGGCGGCGUGCCUAACACAUGCAAGUCGAACGGAGAUAAACGCUGAUGAUUUAGCUUGCUAUUGAUUCUUGUUUAUCUUAGUGGCGGACGGGUGAGUAACGCGUGAGCAACCUGCCUUUCAGAGGGGGAUAACGUCUUGAAAAGGACGCUAAUACCGCAUGAGAUCGUAGUUCCACAUGGGACAGCGACCAAAGGAGCAAUCCGCUGAAAGAUGGGCUCGCGUCCGAUUAGAUAGUUGGCGGGGUAACGGCCCACCAAGUCGACGAUCGGUAGCCGGACUGAGAGGUUGAACGGCCACAUUGGGACUGAGACACGGCCCAGACUCCUACGGGAGGCAGCAGUGAGGGAUAUUGGUCAAUGGGGGAAACCCUGAACCAGCAACGCCGCGUGAGGGAUGACGGUCUUCGGAUUGUAAACCUCUGUCCUCUGUGAAGAUAAUGACGGUAGCAGAGGAGGAAGCUCCGGCUAACUACGUGCCAGCAGCCGCGGUAAUACGUAGGGAGCAAGCGUUGUCCGGAUUUACUGGGUGUAAAGGGUGCGUAGGCGGCUCGGCAAGUCAGAGGUGAAAUCCAUGGGCUUAACCCAUGAACUGCCUUUGAAACUGCCGAACUUGAGUGAAGUAGAGGUAGGCGGAAUUCCCGGUGUAGCGGUGAAAUGCGUAGAGAUCGGGAGGAACACCAGUGGCGAAGGCGGCCUACUGGGCUUUAACUGACGCUGAGGCACGAAAGCAUGGGUAGCAAACAGGAUUAGAUACCCUGGUAGUCCAUGCCGUAAACGAUGAUUACUAGGUGUGGGGGGUCUGACCCCCUCCGUGCCGGAGUUAACACAAUAAGUAAUCCACCUGGGGAGUACGACCGCAAGGUUGAAACUCAAAGGAAUUGACGGGGGCCCGCACAAGCAGUGGAGUAUGUGGAUUAAUUCGAAGCAACGCGAAGAACCUUACCAGGUCUUGACAUCCAGCUAACGAAGUAGAGAUACAUUAGGUGCCCUUCGGGGAAAGCUGAGACAGGUGGUGCAUGGUUGUCGUCAGCUCGUGUCGUGAGAUGUUGGGUUAAGUCCCGCAACGAGCGCAACCCUUACUGUUAGUUGCUACGCAAGAGCACUCUAGCAGGACCGCCGUUGACAAAACGGAGGAAGGUGGGGAUGAUGUCAAAUCAUCAUGCCCCUUAUGACCUGGGCCUCACACGUACUACAAUGGCCGUUAACAGAGGGAAGCAAUACCGCGAGGUGGAGCAAAACCCUAAAAACGGUCCCAGUUCGGAUUGUAGGCUGCAACCCGCCUGCAUGAAGUUGGAAUUGCUAGUAAUCGCGGAUCAGCAUGCCGCGGUGAAUACGUUCCCGGGCCUUGUACACACCGCCCGUCACACCAUGGGAGCCGGUAAUACCCGAAGUCAGUAGUCUAACCGCAAGGAGGGCGCUGCCGAAGGUAGGAUUGGCGACUGGGGUGAAGUCGUAACAAGGUAGCCGUAUCGGAAGGUGCGGCUGGAUCACCUCCUUAAUCACGAAUUCUGGAUCCGAUACGUAACGCGUCUGCAGCAUGCGUGGUACCGAGCUUUCCCUAUAGUGAGUCGUAUUAGAGCUUGGCGUAAUCAUGGUCAUAGCUGUUUC